AUUUGAUAUUUUAAAACUCUUCAAACACAAUUCAUUUGGAUACAAGCGUUGCAUUUUGGAAGAUAGACGGGAUUCUGAACAGCGACGCCCGCGCUGCACACACUACACUCG